UGACACACAGUGAACCGGGUUCUAUAAAUUACCAUGGCAAGUGGUGAGCCAACGAUUUGGCAGAACAAAGCCCCGAGGAUAUGACAAACAAAAGGGAAUAUGGAAUUUGCAAUUGCAGAUUAAAAUUGAAGAAGAAAACAUUUGAGUUGCAAAUACCAUAUUAAAAGUGGACACUGCUUAUGACUGCUGUACGCAAUAGUUUUUCAGGCCCGAGGUGAUAAAUAAAAAAUUGUUUGCUCCAUUUAA
rnacentral:lncRNA from 1 species